rnacentral:rRNA from 1 species
UCUUUAAUGGAGAGUUUGAUCCUGGCUCAGGACGAACGCUGGCGGCGUGCCUAAUACAUGCAAGUCGAGCGGGGUCAAUUAGAAGCUUGCUUCUAAUUGACCUAGCGGCGGACGGGUGAGUAACACGUAGGCAACCUGCCCACAAGACUGGGAUAACUACCGGAAACGGUAGCUAAUACCCGAUACAUCCUUUUCCUGC